CUCUGUUUUCACUUUUUCCUCUUCAAAACUCUACAAGAUCACACUGAAAGAGCUUACAAAUCUGGAAGUGUGCCGCUGCAUCAGGACCUUACUAAAAGUACCUACAGUGAUACUGUUACCUGUGAUAUCGGCUCUUGGAGCUGCUUUGGAGUCUGAUGAUCUGUAUUGUGGGUCCCAAGUAAAGUAGUGAUGAUAAAACACCUGGAGUAUUAAGAAGAUGAAUUAAUUGAUCUUCAUCAAGGACUUACGCACUACAGAGAUGGGGGUGUUAAAAAUCAUGCCAGAUGGACAUUGCUUGAGCUGGUGCAGAAGAAUCACAGUCCUGACUCUUCCUCAUUUCACAGAAAGGGGACCACUUGUUUCUUACAGAUUACACAGAGGUUAAUUUUGCAAGAGGACAAAACCAUUCAGAAAAUCUGGAGUAUUCAAGGAUUUAGUGCUACUGCCAGGACAUGGGGCUGUGAAGAGAAGAGUCUGGCUCCACUUCAAUCCUUGUGAAAUAGCUCCACGAUGAUAUUCUUGACGUCAUUGUGGAAACAAAAUAAAACACUUGUUCUUUCAAAAA